UUAGGAAUAUUCGUCAAUGGGGGAAACCCUGAACGAGCAAUGCCGCGUGAGUGAUGAAGGCCCUAUGGGUUGUAAAACUCUGUUGUUGAGAAAGAAUUGUAAGAUUAGGAAAUGAAUCUUACUUGACGGUACUCUUCAAGAAAGCCACGGCUAACUACGUGCCAGCAGCCGCGGUAAUACGUAGGUGGCGAGCGUUAUCCGGAUUUAUUGGGCGUAAAGAGUGCGCAGGCGGUUUGUUAAGUCUAAGAUAAAAGCCCGGAGCUUAACUUCGGUUCGUCUUAGAAACUGGCAGACUUGAGUAUGGUAGAGGCAAAUGGAAUUCCUAGUGUAGCGGUGGAAUGCGUAGAUAUUAGGAGGAACACCAGUGGCGAAGGCGGUUUGCUGGGCCAUUACUGACGCUCAUGCACGAAAGCGUGGGGAGCAAAUAGG
rnacentral:rRNA from 1 species